UGUAGCAUAGAUAACGCACCUGGCUGGCACACCAAAGAUGUGGGUUCGAUCCCG
rnacentral:tRNA from 1 species